GGAUUGGGAGGGUUCUACGGAACCCGUUUGGUGAAUCUAGUGCCGAGAAAAGCCUUCUAUGUGUUGAAUUUCUAGUACCCGUACCCCAAACCGACACAGGUGGGUGGGUAGAGCAUACCUAGGGGCGCGUGAUAACUCUCUCUAAGGAACUCGGCAAAAUGGCCCUGUAACUUCGGGAUAAGGGGUGCCUGCGUGAGCAGGCCGCAGUGAAAUGGCUCUGGCGACUGUUUACCAAAAACACAGGUCUCUGCUAAGUCGUAAGACGAUGUAUAGGGGCUGACUCCUGCCCAGUGCCGGAAGGUUAAGGAAGUUGGUUAGCGCAAGCGAAGCUGGCGACCGAAGCCCCGGUGAACGGCGGCCGUAACGAUAACGGUCCUAAGGUAGCGAAAUUCCUUGUCGGGUAAGUUCCGACCCGCACGAAAGGAGUAACGAUCAGAGCGCUGUCUCGGAGAGAGACACGGCGAAAUAGGAUUGUCCGUGAAGAUACGGACUACCUGCACCCGGACAGAAAGACCCUAUGAAGCUUUACUGUAACUUGGAAUUGUGUUCGGACUUUGUCUGCGCAGAAUAGGUGGGAGGCUAUGAAACGUUCCUCGCGGGGAACUGGAGCCAUCGUUGAGAUACCACUCUGGCAGAGUCUGGAUUCUAACCUACGGGGACAGUUCCAGGUGGGCAGUUUGACUGGGGCGGUCGCCUCCUAAAAUGUAACGGAGGCGCGCAAAGGUUCCCUCAGGCUGGUUGGAAAUCAGCCAUAGAGUGUAAAAGCAUAAGGGAGCUUGACUGUGAGACCUACAAGUCGAGCAGGGACGAAAGUCGGCUUUAGUGAUCCGACGGCACUGAGUGGAAGGGCCGUCGCUCAACGGAUAAAAGUUACUCUAGGAUAACAGGCUGAUCUCCCCCAAGAGUUCACAUCGACGGGGAGGUUUGGCACCUCGAUGUCGGCUCGUCGCAACCUGGGGCGGUAGUACGUCCCAAGGGUUGGGCUGUUCGCCCAUUAAAGCGGCACGUGAGCUGGGUUCAGAACGUCGUGAGACAGUUCGGUCCAUAUCCGGUGUAGGCGUAGGAGCAUUGAAAGGAUCUCUCCUUAGUACGAGAGGACCGGGAGGGACGUACCUCUGGUGUACCUGUUAUCGUGCCAACGGUAAACGCAGGGUAGCCAUGUACGGAGUGGAUAACCGCUGAAAGCAUCUAAGUGGGAGGCCCACCUUAAGAUGAGUGCUCCCUUGAGGCCACGGGAAGACGACCCGUUUGAUAGGCGCUAGGUGGAAGUGCAGUAAUGCAUGCAGCCGAGGCGUACUAAUAGGCCGAUGGC
rnacentral:rRNA from 1 species